rnacentral:rRNA from 1 species
AUUGAACGCUGGCGGCAGGCCUAACACAUGCAAGUCGAGCGAGCGGCGGACGGGUGAGUAAUGUAUGGGGACUGCACGAUAGAGGGGGAUAAAUACGGGAAAAGGUGGCUAAUACCGCAUACUAUCGGAUAACCCAUAUGGGAUUAGCUAGUAGGUGGGGUAAAGGCUCACCUAGUCGAAGAUCACUAGCUGGUCUGAGAGGAUGAUCAGCCACACUGGCACUGAGACACGUCCCAGACUCCUACGGAGGCAGCAGUGGGGAAUAUUGCACAAUGGGCGCAAGCCUGAUGCAGCCAUGCCGCGUGUCUGAAGAAGGCCUUCGGGUUGUAAAGUACUUUCAGCGGGGAGGCGUUACCCACAGAGAAAGCACCGGCUAACUCCGUGCCAGCAGCCGCGGUAAUUC